UACGGAGGAUCCGAGCGUUAUCCGGAUUUAUUGGGUUUAAAGGGAGCGUGGGCGGUUUGAUAAGUUAGAGGUGAAAUGUCGGGGCUCAACCCCGAAACUGCCUCUAAUACUGUUGGACUAGAGAAUAGUUGCGGUAGGCGGAAUGUAUGGUGUAGCGGUGAAAUGCUUAGAGAUCAUACAGAACACCGAUUGCGAAGGCAGCUUACCAAACUAUAUCUGACGUUGAGGCACGAAAGCGUGGGUAGCAAACAGG
rnacentral:rRNA from 1 species